GAAAAAUUCUAUCCAACCCCCAAAUUCCAGCAAGCACCUAAUCCACUCCUUGCCCCCCACAGGCUUCACAGUGUCAGCUGUUAUAUUCCACGGACUGUUAGCUUCCUCUUCCCGCCACCCUGCCUCCCCUGCGGCCAGUGAAACUGUGGGUUCUAUAUUUACCUGUAUUUCUGACUCUUCCUGACCCUCCCAGGUGCCUUGAGGAACGCCUUGCACACAGCAGGUCCUGGAGGAAUGGCCGGGGAACUGAAUUAUUUGUACAACAUCUUUACAAUUAUUUUUGGGUUUUCGUUGACAUAUCUUAUCUUCGAGUGAUAACAAGUUCCUCAAGGGCAGAGGCUGUCUUUUAUUUCCAUCUUGCUGUAUUCAAAUGUCUAGCCCUAGAUGGGCUGUCUGUGGUCAUUCUUAAAUUUGAAAGACAAAACCUUAGCUGGUCCCUUAGCCACUCUCUGAUUUCCUUCCUUGUAAAUUAGAAGGGAAUUAUGCCUGUCCCUCACAAGCUUUGGAAAGAAGUUUGAGACCCUCAAAUAUGGAACGACUGAAUAGGUUGGCAGAAACCUUCUGUAGGAGUGGAGAGUUCUCAGGCUCUUGCCCUGAAAUCUAUUCAUCUGCCUCAAGGGUCUCUUCCUCCAGGAAGAUUUCUCUGACUUUCCCAGGAUCCCUCCUUGGGGCUCCCAAUUUAAACCAUUGCUAAUGAUCUGUUUACUGCUGCUCUUCCAAGGCAAGGGCCAUGGGGUUCUUUCUUCCCUGAGUGCCAGGAUUGACUCCUUGGUGAGAGGUUUUUGACUGCACUGACUCCCGCUUACACCUGGAAGUUGAUGAGGAAUAAGUCAGCUGUGUGUCUGGGCCAUCCGUAGGUGAGCUCCAUCCUGCAAAUACUCAAGGAGAAAACAGACGAGAUAAUAUAACACGGAGUGAGAUGAGAGCUAGAAUUGAAAACCUUGGGGCUGGCCCUGUGGCCGAGUGCUUAAGUUCGCACGCUGCGCUGCAGGCGGCCCAGUGUUUUGUUGGUUCGAAUCCUGGGCGCGGACAUGGCACUGCUCAUCAAAUCAUGCUGAGGCAGCGUCCCACAUGCCACAACUAGAAGGACCCACAACGAAGAAUAUACAACUAUGUACCGGGGGGCUUUGGGGAGAAAAAGGAAAAAAAUAAAAUCUUAAAA
rnacentral:lncRNA from 1 species